GUGGGGAAUAUUGGACAAUGGGCGAAAGCCUGAUCCAGCCAUGCCGCGUGUGUGAAGAAGGUCUUCGGAUUGUAAAGCACUUUAAGUUGGGAGGAAGGGCAGUAAGUUAAUACCUUGCUGUUUUGACGUUACCGACAGAAUAAGCACCGGCUAACUUCGUGCCAGCAGCCGCGGUAAUACGAAGGGUGCCAGCGUUAAUCGGAAUUACUGGGCGUAAAGCGCGCGUAGGUGGUUUUGUAAGUUGGAGGUGAAUCCACGGGCUCAACCUGGGAACUGCCUCCAAAACUGAAUGACUAGAGUACGGUAGAGGGUAGUGGAAUUUCCUGUGUAGCGGUGAAAUGCGUAGAUAUAGGAAGGAACACCAGUGGCGAAGGCGACUACCUGGACUGAUACUGACACUGAGGUGCGAAAGCGUGGGGAGCAAACAGGAUUAGAUACCCUUGUAGUCC
rnacentral:rRNA from 1 species